AAGGAAGGAAGGAAGGAAGGAAGGGAGAGAGGGAGAAAGAAAAAGAAGAAAGAAAGAAAUUGGAGAAUGCCCUGUCUGUCUCUAGAAAAUCCAAGGGGGGCUGAAUUAACCCUCUUCCAAAACCUCACAGGGAAUUGGCAUAGCUGAACUGUGAUUUCUAAUAGAGUAAUUUUCUGACUAUCAUUUUUUUUAUCAUUAUUAAUUAUUUUUAUGGAAUGCUACAAUUUGCCUGAUGCAUUGCUAGGUGUUGGGAAUACAAAGUAGAGUAAAUUAUCAUAUUUUAUUACCGAACCCCUUGCCUGAUUAACUGAGAGCUUUCCAUGCUGCAAGGUGACAACCAACUAAUCGACCCAAAUGUCUAAUGUGCGUUAACAUGCUAGUCCUUCCUCCUCUGUGAUAUAACAUGGUGAUGACUACAGUAGAAUGCUUGCAAAGAUGGCCCCAAUUCUUCAACUCUCCCCAUAUCCAUUCCCUUUGCUAUGUGAUUUUCCAGUUUAUCGCAUGAAAAGGCGGAAUUUCUUUCCCCACUCCCUGGCUUUGGGCUGGCCUUGUGACUUGCUUUGGUUAAUAGAACAUAGUGGAAGGAACAAUGUGCCAGUUCUAAGUCUUGGACUCCAGAGACCUUGUCCACUUCUGUCUCCGAUCUCAGACCCCUGCUUCUGCCAGAAGAACAAGCCUGGGAUAGCCUCCUGGAGGAUGAAUGAUCACAAGGAGUGACGAAUUGUCCCAGCUGAGGCCAAUCUAUACCAGUCUACAGUGAGCAUAUGCGUGAAAGUCUAACCAAGAGCUACAGAGUUACUUACCCAGCCCACCACUGACCACAGAUGAACGAGGGAGCCUAGCUGAGACUAGAACUGCCCAGUUCAUCCACAAACUUGUGAGGAACCUCUGCUGUCUUCUAAACGGAGGUAUUUAUAAAGCUGAGAUAAUGAAUGAGUUUUGCUAAGAUAGGAACUCCACCAUAUUGGAAUUUUCUUUAAAAGAGUCAAACUUGGUGAAUAAAUCAGGUCUUUGGCUUUUA